AUUGAACGCUGGCGGCAGGCCUAACACAUGCAAGUCGAGCGAGCGGCGGACGGGGGAGUAAGGUCUGGGAAACUGCCUGAUGGAGGGGGAUCACUACUGGAAACGGUAGCUAAUACCGCAUACCAUCAGAUGUGGCCAGAUGGGAUUAGCUAGUGGGUGGGGUAACGGAUCACCUAGGCAACGAUCCCUAGAUGGUCUGAGAGGAUGACCAGCCACACUGGGACUGAGACACGGGCCAUACUCCUACGGGAGGCAGCAGUGGGGAAUAUUGGACAAUGGGCGCAAGCCUGAUGCAGCCAUGCCGCGUGUGUGAAGAAGGCCUUCGGGUUGUAAAGCACUUUCAUCAGGGAGGCGUUACCCGCAGAAGAAGCACCGGCUAACUCCGUGCCAGCAGCCGCGGUAAUUC
rnacentral:rRNA from 1 species